rnacentral:tRNA from 1 species
GGACCAUUAGCUCAGCUGGCAGAGCACGCGACUUUUAAUCACGGUGUCCCGCGUUCGAAUCGCGGAUGGUUCACCA